ACACAGCAUGUCAAAGAAUGACUACGCUCUGGUUUUACACAUCCGUAUUUUUAAACAGCACAAAAUGGUUGUACUUCUCAAUAUCGAAAUCUGACUGGGGCCUCUCCUGCUUGACCUUGCCCUGGAGGCUGCUGUCCUUCCAUGGGUGGGUGCCCAGGCUGAGCUUGCACGGGCUCCUUCAUGUCCCCCUUGGUCAACCUAGGUGAAGAGGGGAAGAAUCCAGCUCCCACCAUGCACCUUAUUGACAGAAGCCUUCCUCAGAUGAAUAUUCAUGAGCAGCCUAAGUUUCUUUGGCUUUUCUGUUUACUAGUUUUAUUAGCUCUUGAGAGGGGAGAGAGAGAGAGAGAGAGAGAGAGACUGGGGGAGACAGAGAAAGAAGCUGGGUGCGGUGGCUCAUGCCUAUAAUCUCAGCACUUUGGGAGGCUGAGGCAGGAGGACUGCUUGAGCCCAGGAGUUCAAGACCAGCUGAGCAACAUAGCAAGAUCCCAUCUCCAUAAAAAAAGAAAAAUAAAAAUUGAAGAGAGAGAGAGAGAGAGAGAACUUUCCAUAAUUAAUAGAGAUAAGGUCAGCAAGAUAACUCUUUUUUGCUCUUUUCCUAAUUGCCCCUUCCUGGGGUGAUUCCUUUCCUAAAUGGGCCUCCUCUUAAUCCUCAAGCUAUUAUGAUAUAAAAAUUAAAGUGUGAUAUCCUGGCUCGCCCAUUUCCUAUUAAUGGAAUGACCUGUGGUAAUCAAUAGAGGAAAUGCAGGAAUGUUAACAGAUGUGUGGUUCUGUUUGAGAGUCUCCAAUUAAGUGAUAUGUCUUCAAGGUGGAAAGAUGAGAUCAUUUUGAAAUUAGUUUCUUUUUGGCUUUUUAAGUCUUUGGUUAUUAUCAAUUGCAUUAAAAAAACCAAUUGGAAAGGAAAAUCGAUCGGUGCUGAAUUCCUCCCCCACCUGAAGUCUUCAUGCUUCCUCAGGUGAUAGGAUGCUAGAGAGGAAAAUUUGGAAUUAGCUUUUAAAAGGAAGAGAAAUGACGGUGUAACCAUCUGCCAAAUACAUGGAAACAACAACAACAAAAACCUCAUCAUUCACCUGGCCUGGCAAAUAGGUUUGUGCAUUUUUUUUCUUUUCUGUCCACCCUGUUGUUUGUCAGAGGUUGACCAAGAACUUGUCCAAGGGCCAUUCCUGUGGUGUCAUUGGUUAGAGACUUUUUAACAAUUUCAAGUUCUGGUGAAAUACUGUGAGUAAAUAAAGAGAGAAUUUUGCCUGAGUUUAAGGGGCUUUCCUGGGAGGUAAUGUAUUUUGUGGCCUAACACUUCAUUACUUAGCCUGCAGAUCUGGUUUCUUUUGAAAACAAACCCUAAGUCUGGAACUUUCCAUGCUGAGAGUCCACGUCAGUUUCAAGAAGGCCUGGUAAGAUGUAGCUGAGUAAAAACGAGACUCAAUAUGAAUGAUUACUGCUGUUCUUUCUCACUGGGAAGCCUGGGGACGUCAAGGAUAAAAUGACCUUUUGUACAGUGGUGAUAUUUCUCCAUGUCUCAGCCUUUUUAUCAGCAUAACUAUGGCCAAACCCAGUGCUUUUGUGGAAAACAUUGGUAGCACCGUCAUCUCAGAAGUCUUUAUGUAACUUCCCAUAGUCAUGUCAGAGGAGAUGGGGAUACAAAUCAUCAAACGCUUCUCUUUGGAUUGUGCAAGUCAGCAAAUCAGCUCUGGCGAUUUCCAAAGAGCUAAGACUACCAUCCCUGGGUAUGGUCCCUGAGUCUUCUUUCCCCAUCCUCUACAGCCCCCACUCAAAGAAAGUGCCUCAAACAGAUGGAAUGACGCAGAGGUAGAAUUGCAAACUUCAGAAAUGCAUGCUUAAGAGGGCAGGUGAGCCGGGUGUGGAGGCUUACAUCUGUCUUCCCAGCACUUUGGGAGGCAGAGGAGAGUGGAUUGCUUAAGCCCAGAAGUUCCAGACCAGCCUGGGCAACAUGGCAAAACUCCAUCUUAAUGAAACAUGCAAAAAUUAGCUGGGUGUGGUGGUGCACGCCUAUAGACCCAGCUACUCAGGGAGGAUCACCUGUACCUUGGAGGUCAAGGCUGCAGUGAGCCAUGAUG
rnacentral:lncRNA from 10 species